rnacentral:rRNA from 1 species
GAAGGGGGCUAGCGUUGUUCGGAAUUACUGGGCGUAAAGCGCGCGCAGGCGGUCCUUCAAGUCAGAGGUGAAAGCCCAGAGCUCAACUCUGGAAUGGCCUUUGAGACUAGAGGACUUGGGUACGGGAGAGGUGAGUGGAAUUCCGAGUGUAGAGGUGAAAUUCGUAGAUAUUCGGAAGAACACCAGUGGCGAAGGCGGCUCACUGGCCCGUUACCGACGCUCAGGCGCGACAGCGUGGGGAGCAAACAGGAUUAGAUACCCUGGUAGUCCACGCCGUAAACGAUGGAUGCUAGCCGUUGGCAAGCAUGCUUGUCAGUGGCGCAGCUAACGCAUUAAGCAUCCCGCCUGGGGAGUACGGCCGCAAGGUUG